rnacentral:lncRNA from 1 species
AAACAGAGUUGAAUGAAUAAAUAAUAAUUCGUGUACUUAUUCAUAAAUUUUGAAAUAAAAAGGAAUUGUGUCUUUAUUAUCAUUCCAAGUAAGCCAAGUGAGAUGAAUCUAAGAAAACAGAUGCACCUCCUUUAUCUAUUUAACUUCCUUGAUAGUAAAAGUAGAUACGGAAGAGAACUAUAAAGUUAAUUAAUCUGAUCGAGAUAUAAUUGUAAAAUUCGAAACCGAUCAUAGAAAAUCACAAAAAGGUGCGAAAAUUUUAUGGGACAAAAUCUCCUUGAGGAAAAGUUACCAGCGGAAAAAUGUAGAGACGAAAAUGUUAUGAACAUUAAUACUUAUAACCGAAAAAAAGACAAUGAGUGAUGUUAGAAUCACUCAAAUCCGACUUUUGAGUGCCUCCCCAAAUCCUCUCAGUGAUUUGCUUCACCAAAGCUAACUUCCUCUUCUUCCAAAACAUCCAGGAUCAUAACAAAGUAAAAAUCUGAAAUCAAUAAUCUUCCCUAAUCUGAUGUUACUUGUUAUGCUUGUUCGUCCAUCCGUGAUUCUUUUCAGCUAAAAAUAAUCUAUCAUUUCGAAUUAUAAUGGAUAACGGAUAUAAUACGGGUAUUACUUCUUCCAUUCGAUCAAAUCCAUAGAGAUAUAAUUAUAUUUAGUCUCUAUGAUCGAAUCACUGUCGUGUUUGUUUAUUAUUUAAUUUACAUUAAGAACUACUACGGUAAAAGAUUAUAAGUACAUGCUGAUGUGUUGUGUAAUAUAAUUAUCAAUAAUGAAUAUUAAUUUUUGAAGCAUCUUCAUAAUUAAUGAACACAUAAUAACAAUUUGUGACAAAUAAUUAAAAUAUCUUUCAAUUUUGGAGUAACAUGAAUGGGAAUCAUAAUUACAUAGUAUUGGAGACUAAAUCAUCAUCAAAUAUAUUGAUUAUUUUAUUGGGCAAAGUAGUCUUCUGGCAAACUGUCUUUUCGGCGAAGUGGUAAUUUGCCAAAGUGUCCGUUUGACAAAAUGGUUUUCGGCAAUGUGUCCUAGAACCGUCCAAACUAUGUGAAGUCUCAUAAUUCGAUGAACUCAAAGCUGUAUACGAACUCGAUAAAUUCGAAAAUGUCUCAAAAACUUGAUGAAGUCGAAGAUGUAUUCCAACUUGAUGAAGUCGAAGAUGUCUCCAAUCUUGAUGAAGUCGAAGAUGUGUCUGAACUCGAAUUUUGCUCACAAUAAUAACAUUUGAAUUAGUUGAAAGAACUAUGCUAAUACACCAGUUUGGAUUGUUUUAUUUAAAUAAGAUUAAGUUAAUCUUACUGUUAAUUAUUUGCUUUCAAAUAUGUAUUUUUUUUAAAUUGUGCAUGAAAUAAUUAAAAUAAGGCUCA